CAAGAUGGCGGCGCCUGGUAGUAAAUUGACAGAUGGCAGUUUUAUAUACUUAUUUUGGUUAUAAGACUGCUUUUAAAAGGAGCUGUUGCGGAUGUUUGGCAUUCCCUACAUCGUCAGUCCGAUUGGAGGCUGAGGCUCAGUGUGCGUUUAUGGACCUCACCAAUCAAACAGAAGGAUCCGUCACCAAUGACAGCGAUAUCUGGUUAUUUGGCGGGACCUGUGUCUACAAUUUUUCCAGAGAACCAAUAUAGAUAUCAAUUAGGUUUGUGCCAAGAGAAAAUGAUCAACAUCGGCCUGCUGCGUGGCAGUGACUACACCUUGGGGGUACAGAGGGUCGGUUCUGUGUCUGUUCUGGAGAUCAUGGCCGUUUCCAGGGGAAGGAAUCCAGGCACUUGUUGACAAGUCCUGGUGGGACAGAAUAAGACAUCAAGAUCAGGAAUAAACUCAGGAAGCUGGAUAUUAACAAAGGAUUUCCCAGCACAGCAGUUGUGGAUGCUUACUUCAACCCACAAGUAGACCAGUCAGAGGAAUUAAGCCGUCUCCUGGUCGCGACCUGACCUUGACCCAACCCACAAGUAGACCAGUCAGAGGAAGCCUUCUCCUGGUCGCGACCUGACCUUGACCCAACCCACAAGUUGACCAGUCAGAGGAAGCCUUCUCCUGGUCGCGACCUUACCUUGACCCAACCCACAAGUUGACCUGUCGGAGGAAGCCUUCUCCUGGUCGCGACCUGACCUUGACCUUCUCAGAGAUUAUGCCAGAGAGAAAUUUGGCUGGAGGAAAGAAAAGGUGGAUGAGAAUCUCCGUCCGGUGAUGAAGAAGAUGAACGAGAAACAGAGCCAGGGAAGAAUUGACAAAUGCUUCCAACCAGAAGCAUUUUUAGAAUCUAAAAAGACACAAAGUUCUUGUGUCAAAAAGGCUCUCUCAGAAUUAACAACUGCUCCUACUUCUAAACUUUCCCAAACCGAAGCAAAGAUGCUAUGGAUGAAAGACAGAAAAAGUUGAAAGGUAAAGCGAUCAGUGAAAGGCAAAAGUCAAAGGGUAAAGGUAAAGUAAAGGGCAAAGGCAAGUUGAAAGAUGAUCCUAAGACGAGUGAAGGUAAGCCUUAUAAGCUUAUUAAGGAAGUUAUUGAGCUGUCGGAGAGUAGCUCAAGUGAUGAGGAAAUGGGUAGUGCAUGUAAACCCAAAGUUAGUAAGUCAGCGAAUGUUGCUGCGUCUUUGGUGAGGAGAGAUGAGAUGAAAUCCCUCUCCCAUCUGGAACCAGGAGGAUUUUGUCGGGACGACGAUGAAGAUACAAGCGAGACAGUGGGACAAAAACUUAAAUCUCACUUUGAUCGUCUCGAAAAAUGAUUUGAUAUACAGAUGGAAGUGCAACAGAAACCUAGUGGUAGUCAGACGAGUAAAAGGAGGGGUAAACAAUCCUCCAAUACUGCUGAUGAGGAAAUGACAAUGUCAAGUGUCUCACAGACAUCGAAAACUAAGGCUCGCUCAAACUUGGCCAAGGUGAACAUCUCUGACUGUUCAUCCGAUAGUGAUUAUUGAUGUAAACGUUUAAGGUUGUUCGACCUGACCUAUUUCUAUGUAAUAGUUACAUUGUAGAGGGAUUCUCUUUCUGUAUAGGUACCAUGUUCUUCUGAAGGGCAAUACAAGUAUUGUAUCUGAUUUGUGAAAAUUUCAAAAACACAUUCAAUAACAUCUAUGUUAAAAUUUGUUGUUAAUUGAAUGGAGCUAAAUUCUGUUUCUUGUCUUGACAGUAUAUGCUUUGUGUAUUGUCUGAUACUGGAUUCAAAAAUCUUUUCACACUGUCUUGUGCGCCCAUCCUUCCAGAAAGUUUACCCAUGAAUGUAUAUGAAAAUUAAUUUGUUGAAAAAAAUAUGUUCAGGAAGGACAAUUUUAAAUGUUUAGAUAUGAUAGUAUAUUUUUGAAGUGUUUUAAUUUUGUUCACAAUAUUUCACUUUC